GAUGAACGCUGGCGGCGUGCUUAACACAUGCAAGUCGAACGAGAAGUGAAGACGGAAACCUUCGGGCGGAAGGCUUUAUUUCGAGUGGCGGACGGGUGAGUAACGCGUGGGUAACCUGCCUCAUACAGGGGGAUAACAGUUGGAAACGACUGUUAAUACCGCAUAAGACCACAGCACCGCAUGGUGCGGGGGUAAAAACUCCGGUGGUAUGAGAUGGACCCGCGUUCGAUUAGCCAGUUGGCGGGGUAACGGCCCACCAAAGCGACGAUCGAUAGCCGAUCUGAGAGGAUGACCGGCCACAUUGGGACUGAGACACGGCCCAAACUCCUACGGGAGGCAGCAGUGGGGAAUAUUGCACAAUGGGGGAAACCCUGAUGCAGCGACGCCGCGUGAGUGAAGAAGUAUUUCGGUAUGUAAAGCUCUAUCAGCAGGGAAGAAAAUGACGGUACCUGAGUAAGAAGCCCCCGGCUAACUACGUG
rnacentral:rRNA from 1 species